UCUACGGGGGGCAGCAGUGGGGAAUAUUGGACAAUGGGGGGAACCCUGAUCCAGCCAUGCCGCGUGUGUGAAGAAGGCCCUCGGGUUGUAAAGCACUUUCAGUGAGGAAGAACGCCUGGUGGUUAAUACCCAUCAGGAAAGACAUCACUCACAGAAGAAGCACCGGCUAACUCCGUGCCAGCAGCCGCGGUAAUACGGAGGGUGCGAGCGUUAAUCGGAAUUACUGGGCGUAAAGCGCGCGUAGGUGGCUUGAUAAGCCGGUUGUGAAAGCCCCGGGCUCAACCUGGGAACGGCAUCCGGAACUGUCAAGCUAGAGUGCAGGAGAGGAAGGUAGAAUUCCCGGUGUAGCGGUGAAAUGCGUAGAGAUCGGGAGGAAUACCAGUGGCGAAGGCGGCCUUCUGGACUGACACUGACACUGAGGUGCGAAAGCGUGGGUAGCAAACAGGAUUAGAUACCCGAGUAGUC
rnacentral:rRNA from 1 species